AACGAACGCUGGCGGCAUGCCUAACACAUGCAAGUCGAACGAGACCUUCGGGUCUAGUGGCGCACGGGUGCGUAACGCGUGGGAAUCUGCCCUUAGGUACGGAAUAACUCAGGGAAACUUGAGCUAAUACCGUAUAAUGACUUCGGUCCAAAGAUUUAUCGCCUAAGGAUGAGCCCGCGUCGGAUUAGCUAGUUGGUGAGGUAAAAGCUCACCAAGGCGACGAUCCGUAGCNGGUCUGAGAGGAUGAUCAGCCACACUGGGACUGAGACACGGCCCAGACUCCUACGGGAGGCAGCAGUGGGGAAUAUUGGACAAUGGGCGAAAGCCUGAUCCAGCAAUGCCGCGUGAGUGAUGAAGG
rnacentral:rRNA from 1 species